UUAUUGGGACUUAACUUGGCCCUUUAAAAACUAUACAACUUUCAGCAACGGAUCUCUUGGCUCUCGCAUCGAUGAAGAACGCAGCGAAAUGCGAUAAGUAAUGUGAAUUGCAGAAUUCAGUGAAUCAUCGAAUCUUUGAACGCACCUUGCGCCUCUUGGUAUUCCGAGAGGCAUGCCUGUUUGAGUGUCAUUAAAUUCUCAACCUCAAAAGCUUUUUGUUCUUUGAGGAUUGGAUAUGAGGGCUGCUGGCUUUUAAUAAGAGUCGGCUUCCUUGAAAUGCAUUAGUGGAAACCGCUUGUGGACCGCAUUGGUGUGAUAAUUAUCUACGCCAUUGAUUCGUUGUCUACGUCGAAUGUUACACUUUGCUUGUAGCACUUCGGUUUGGAGGGUUUGCGAAGUUGUAAUGACUUUUGCUCUCUCUGUUGAGGUAUCUGCUUCAAACCGUCCCAAGUUAUUGGACAAUUAUUGAUUACUUUGACCUCAAAUCAGGUAGGACUACCCGCUGAACUUAAGCAUAUCAAUAAGCGGAGGAAAAGAAACUAACAAGGAUUCCCCUAGUAACUGCGAGUGAAGAGGGAAAAGCUCAAAUUUAAAAU
rnacentral:rRNA from 1 species